GAUGAACGCUGGCGGCGUGCCUAAUACAUGCAAGUCGAGCGAACAGACGAGGAGCUUGCUCCUUUGACGUUAGCGGCGGACGGGUGAGUAACACGUAGGUAACCUACCUAUAAGACUGGGAUAACUUCGGGAAACCGGAGCUAAUACCGGAUAAUAUUUCGAACCGCAUGGUUCGAUAGUGAAAGAUGGCUUUGCUAUCACUUCUAGAUGGACCUGCGCCGUAUUAGCUAGUUGGUAAGGUAACGGCUUACCAAGGCAACGAUACGUAACCGACCUGAGAGGGUGAUCGGCCACACUGGAACUGAGACACGGUCCAGACUCCUACGGGAGGCAGCAGUAGGGAAUCUUCCGCAAUGGGCGAAAGCCUGACGGAGCAACGCCGCGUGAGUGAUGAAGGUCUUCGGAUCGUAAAACUCUGUUAUUAGGGAAGAACAAACGUGUAAGUAACUGUGCACGUCUUGACGGUACCUAAUCAGAAAGCCACGGCUAACUACGUG
rnacentral:rRNA from 1 species